rnacentral:rRNA from 1 species
AGCAAACAGGAUUAGAUACCUGGUAGUCACGCUGUAAACGAUGUCGAUUUGAAGGUUGUUCCCUUGAGGAGUGGCUUUCGGAGCUAACGCGUUAAAUCGACCGCUGGGGAGUACGGCCGCAAGGUUAAAACUCAAAUGAAUUGACGGGGGCCCGCACAAGCGGUGGAGCAUGUGGUUUAAUUCGAUGCAACGCGAAGAACCUUACCUACUCUUGACAUCCAGAGAAUUUAGCAGAGAUGCUUUAGUGCCUUCGGGAACUCUGAGACAGGUGCUGCAUGGCUGUCGUCAGCUCGUGUUGUGAAAUGUUGGGUUAAGUCCCGCAACGAGCGCAACCCUUAUCCUUUGUUGCCAGCACGUAAUGGUGGGAACUCAAAGGAGACUGCCGGUGAUAAACCGGAGGAAGGUGGGGAUGACGUCAAGUCAUCAUGGCCCUUACGAGUAGGGCUACACACGUGCUACAAUGGCGUAUACAAAGAGAAGCGAACUUGCGAGAGUAAGCGGAACUCAUAAAGUACGUCGUAGUCCGGAUUGGAGUCUGCAACUCGACUCCAUGAAGUCGGAAUCGCUAGUAAUCGUAGAUCAGAAUGCUACGGUGAAUACGUUCCCGGGCCUUGUACACACCGCCCGUCACACCAUGGGAGUGGGUUGCAAAAGAAGUAGGUAGCUUAACCUUCGGGAGGGCGCUUACCACUUUGUGAUUCAUGACUGGGGUGAAGUCGUAACAAGGUAACCA